UCAUACUACAGUAGUUCUUGACGA
rnacentral:miRNA from 1 species